GAAGGGGGUAAGAACGUGAAGAACUGCUAACUCUCCACUCUGGGGUUAAACUCCCCAGACUCU
rnacentral:tRNA from 1 species